rnacentral:rRNA from 1 species
AUUGAACGCUGGCGGCAGGCCUAACACAUGCAAGUCGAACGGAGCGGCGGACGGGUGAGUAAUGCCUAGGAAUCUGCCUGGUAGUGGGGGAUAACGUCCGGAAACGGGCGCUAAUACCGCAUACUAUCAGAUGAGCCUAGGUGGGAUUAGCUAGUGUGUGGGGUAAAGGCCUACCAAGGCGACGAUCCGGCACUGGUCUGAGAGGAUGAUCAGUCAAACUGGAACGUGGACACGGUCCAGACUCCGAAGGGAGGCAGCAGUGGGGAAUAUUGGGCAAUGGGCGAAAGCCUGAUCCAGCCAUGCCGCGUGUGUGAAGAAGGUCUUCGGAUUGUAAAGCACUUUAAGUUGGGAGGCGGUACCAACAGAAUAAGCACCGGCUAACUUCGUGCCAGCAGCCGCGGUAAUUC